rnacentral:tRNA from 1 species
GAGGGUAACAGCUCAGUGGCAGAGCACAUGCUUUGCAUGCACGAGGUCUUGGGUUCAAUCCCUAGUACCUCCA